rnacentral:piRNA from 1 species
UAGUUGGGAUGUAAGAACACUGGAAACAGUU